rnacentral:lncRNA from 1 species
GUUGAUGCUUGCAAAAUAUAACUGAAAUAGAAUCAUCCGAUCUGCCCUUCUGAUGCAAGAUUGACUACAGUAUUUGUCUAUAGGGCACUUAGCAGAAGUUAUAUUUUCUACAGAUUUUGGUGUUCAUCUCUAGCACUGAGCUCAAGUUGCUUCUGACAAUGAUGUGCGUUACACUUCCAAGAUACGACCCUCACACACACACAUGCACACGCGUGCGCGCACACACACAGGUUCUUCAUCAUUUCGAAAUGAAACAGUCAGUUCCUGGAACAAUAGGACCAAUAUCAACAAUUUAGAAGGAAGCCAGCAUAUUAACUGAUACUCUAAGAUAGCGAAUGCAGAGAUACCAUUGGAAUGAAAACUGAACUCGGAGGCUAGGCGCGGUGCACAAAC